CAAACGGCACAGAGGGGACUCGAACCCAGGAUUCCACUGUGAUCUCUAGAAGCUGUCGCCACCUGCCUGCUUUUGUGGGAGCGAAAGCUCUCACACCACGAUGCCUGAUCUGUUCCUUCGUGUUCCAGGCGGCUGGCGCCCUUUGCCUCUGAAGAUGCUGCUUUUCUGAGUCAGGAGAGCCAGGUGAAACGAAUACUGUCAUCAGCACCAUAGAGACAGAUGAUUGGGCAGUGACCUAGAGGACGCGGAGUGACACACCUGAAUGCCUUUCUGCUUUCCGACCGCGAGCUCCUGGUGCUGCCAUAUCACUGGCCUGGUGAUGCUGUCUCAGACCCUCCCGCAAAGGACUAGAAAUUCCCUCUGUUCUGCGGCCACUUUGUCCAUUCUUCAUGCAUUCGCCUCGUGAUGAUUUAUUUGAAGUCUUGCUGCCUGGAGAGUCAAUGAGCUCCUUCAGAGCGAGCUAUUUAUAGUCCCCGUGCGGAGUAGACACUCAAAAAGAUG